rnacentral:lncRNA from 1 species
UUUUUUUUUUUUUUUUUUUUUUUUUGGCUCUUUUAGGGCGUACCUGAAGCAUGUGGAGGCUUCCAGGUGGGGCCCUAGAAAAUAUAAAAAAGACCAAAAAAAAAAAAAAUUCUCCUCUGGGCUAGAGAAGUUUAGUAUUAGUAUCUGAUGACCACCAUGAAGGGCUUAUAUGACCCGGGAUGGGGGUGGGGGUGAGUAGUUCAAUGUUAACCACCAACUAUGUGACAGACACUCUGCUGGACACCGAAUAGAAAAGGGAAGAGUGAGUCAUACUUCAUUCAAAGAGAAAAAUGUCUUGUUUGAAAACACAGGGUUAAGUCUGCAAAGUUACUUAUUAAAAUAUUGACUAAAUUUACUGAGACCCAUUAGUGAGUCUAAUGUUAAAGGCUAGAACAGUCUGUUCACUGUAGACGGCUGGAGUUGGGAAACUGACAUUUGAUUAAAAAAAUCUUUCAUUAAACCACCUGCGCUGUUCAGCUCACAGUUAGCAAUAAAGAAAUCUGGAGUUCCCGUCGUGGCGCAGUGGUUAAUGAAUCUGACUAGGAACCACGAGGUUGUGGGUUCCAUCCCUGGCCUCGAUCAGUGGGUUAAGGAUCUGGCAUUGCCGUGAGCUGUGGUGUGCAUCACAGAUGCGGCUCGGAUCUGGCGUUGCUGUGCCUGUGGUGUAGGCCUGCAGUUGUAUCUCUGAUUCGAUCCCUAGCCUGGGACCCUCCAUAUGGCAUGGGUGUGGCCCUAAAAAAAAAAAAAAAAAAAGAAAAGAAAUCUAAAUCAUUCAGCAUCUUAAGGAUUUUUUUUUUUUUUAAAGGAUACCAUCUGUAUCAUACACCUACAUAAAUAGUUAAUGGAGAUAACAGUCUAGACUCCUUUUCCCUAUCACCCACUUAAAAUACACCCAAGAGGCCUUGGAUAUAUUUAGCUUUGUUCUGUCAAGUCCUAUACCCAUCAUUUCUCCUACAUAGAGAAAAUUCAGCUGACUUCUAGCAAAAUAACACACAGUACUGACACCAAAUGUUUCCGAUACCCUCAGUGAUGAAUUUUAGAAUAUGACUUGAAGUAUUUCUGGGUAUACUACUAUAUAUAUUGGUUGCUCCUGCUCUUCAGAUUGAGAUCACCAUCCCCCCAACCACACACACACACAGACACACCCCUCAUGAUAAAUGCACAAAGUCACAACAAUGAUGAGUAAACCCUCUGCAGCAAUUUAGAGAAAUACACUUUCUGUUCUUAGAAAUUCAGUGGUUGGCAUUAAUCAAGACCACUGCCGGUCUAUUUGGAUCCUAUCUGAAAUGGAGAGUGAGCAUCACUUGGUUCUGCACCUUCCCCAUUCAAAAUGUUGGAAAGCUAAGAUGCCAAGUAAGAGAGAUGGGUGUGCUUCUGAGCAUCACGUUACUUACAUUUUCCUCUGAAUUCAGGCUCUGGCAAACAUUGGCAGAAAAGCUGAAGACACAAGUGCCUUGUGGGGUAGACGGCACAGAUUUAGAGUGCUUUGUUUAUCAGAACGUGGGUUUUUAUCCUGAUGGAACCUGUAAACAGGGCAUGGGGGGCACUCAAUUACAGCUUGGGGAACAGCCAGCACCAUUGAGGAUAUCCCAUCUGUGCUACAAGAGACAUUCUAAGUAGAAAAUCACAACAGAAAGUAUGAAAUUCACGCAUCCAAUGCAACAUGAGUAGUUACUAUGGGUCAACACUGUUCUAGACAUUAGGGAUCCAACAGUAAACAAGAGACAAAACCCCCGUCUUCGAUGGUGCAUAUAUUCUAGUAGGAACAGACUACUGAUAUAAAUGAAGCUAUAAAUGUCUAUCGAGUUAGAAGGUGAUAGACAAGUGCCAUGGAGGAAAAUAAAGGAGAAAAGAGGAGCAGGCCACACCGGCAGAGGGUGGCUGGGGAUGGUGGGCAGAGAAGGUGAUGUCUGAUUAAGGAGCUGAAGGGUUAAGGGGCACAGCCCUGGAGACAUCUCGGGGGAAGAGCCGUCCAAACAGCGGAAACAGUAAAUGCACAACGGCUCUGAGGCAGGAGUAUGCCUGGCAAGUUGAAUGAAUAACGAGGAAGCCAAUGUGUUUAAACGCCUUCAACUGCUUCCAGAUUAAGGGGUUACAAUUGGGGGCAAAAUGUCAUGAACACAGCCAUGUUUUCUCACACACUUAGAGCGGGAACAUGCCUUUGAAAAUGCUUACUCAAGCCCCUUAUUCUUUCCAAGCUGGAAGAAAUAAAGAAGAGAAGGCUGAGUGAGUAAUCCAAGGCAGUUAUGCUGCCAGCUAACCGGCCAAGAGAAAGCUUCAGCGCCAGUUAUCUCAAACUCAUCACCACACUUUUAUCUCAUGCUCCAACUUUACAAGAGAUACUCUUAUUUUUUUAAUUGGGAAAAAAAUGAAAGAAUCCAUCUAAUAUAAUCUUAGAGCUAAAAAUUGAUCAAUUUCACUUUUCAUUCAACAAAUAACCGAGAGAGACCCUACGCACACCCUUUUUGGUGAGGAAUGAAAGAAUAAAUGCAUCAUUACUUAAGAGUGCCACUGCUCAGCAAUCAAUUGCACAACUGUGGAACAGAGAAACGACUGCAGGAGACACAUCUCAGAUGUUGACUGCAGCACUGUUACAGUUUUUUUUUGUUUUUUGUUUUUUGUUUUUUUUUAAGUGUAAAAAGAUCAACUAUCCUCAGCAGAAAAGGUAUGAACCGUGAAAACCUGGAAAUACUCUAAUUUUCUCUUGGAAGGAAUGAGUAUGCUAUAGUUUACUCAUACAUAGAAUUCUCACUAGCAGCUAAAGAAGAUCUACAUGUAC